AGUCCGAACGGCAGCACGGACUUCGGUCUGGUGGCGAGUGGCGAACGGGUGAGUAAUGUAUCGGAACGUGCCUCAUCAGCGGGGGAUAACUACGCUGAAAGCGCGGCUAAUGCCGCAUACGCCCUUCGAAGGCGGGGACCUUCGGGCCUCGCACUAUUAGAGCGGCCGAUAUCGGAUUAGCUAGUUGGUGGGGUAACGGCUCACCAAGGCGACGUCCGUAGCUGGUUUGAGAGGACGACCAGCCACUGGGACUGAGACACGGCCCAGACUCCUACGGGAAGCAACAGUGGGGUACGGGCAAUGGAAACCUGAUCCAGCCAUCCCGCGUGUGCGAUGAAGGCCUUCCGGGUUGUAAAGCACUUUUGGCAGGAAAGAAACGGCACAGGAUAAUACCCCGUGCAGCUGACGGGCGUACCUGCUGGGCCUCAGCACCGGCUAACUACGUGCCAGCGGCCGCUGAUGACCGUGAAGAUUAAGCGUUAAUCGGGUUACUGGGCGUAAAGCGUGCCUGAACGGUUCAGGAAGAAAGAUGUAAAUCCAGGCUUAACUUUGGAACUGCAUUUUUAACUACCGAGCUGGAGUGUGUCAGAGGGAGGUGAAUUCCGCGUAGCAGUGAAAUGCGUAGAUAUGCGGAGAAGGGAACACCGAUGGCGAAGCAGCCUCCUGGGAUAACACUACAAACGCUCUGCACGAAAGCGUGGGAGCAAACAGGAUUAGAUACCUGGUAGUCCACGCCCUAAAACGAUGUCAACUAGCUGUUGGAACCUUCAGACGCCCAGUAGCGCAAAUGCUGCGUGAGAUUGACCGCCUGGGAGUACGGUCACUGAAUUAAAACUCAGGAAUUGACGGGGACCCGCACAAGCGGUGGAUGAUGUGGAUUAAUUCGAUGCAACGCAAAAACCUUACCUACCCUUGACAUGUCUGGAAUCCCGAAGAGAUUUGGGAGUGCUCGCAAAGUGGAACAGGUGCUGCAUGGCUGUCACGUCAGCUCGUGUCGCAGAUGUUGGGUUAAGUCCCGCAACCGGCACCAGCCCUUGUCAUUAGUUGCUACGAAAAGGGCGCUCUAAUGAGACUGCGCAGUGAACAAGGCCGAGGAGGGAAGGUGGGGAUGACGAUCUGGAUAUCAACGACACCCAACGGGUAGGGCUUGCAUCUUCAUCGUCGGAACAGAGGGUCGCCAACCCGCGAGAGAGCCAAUCCCGAAACCCGAUCGUAGUCCGGAUCGCAGUCUGCCAACUCGACUGCGUGAAGUCGAAGAUCGCUAGUAAUCGCGGAUCAGCAUGUCGCGGUGAAUACGUUCCAGGUCUUGUACACCGCCCGUCCACCAUAGAGGUGGGUUUUACCGAAGUAGUUAGCUAACCGUAAGGGCGAUUACCACGGUAGGAUUCAUGACUGGGGUGAAGUCGUAACAAGGUGG
rnacentral:rRNA from 1 species